GACGAACGCUGGCGGCGUGCCUAAUACAUGCAAGUAGAACGCUGAAGGAGGAGCUUGCUUCUCCGGAUGAGUUGCGAACGGGUGAGUAACGCGUAGGUAACCUGCCUGGUAGCGGGGGAUAACUAUUGGAAACGAUAGCUAAUACCGCAUAAGAGUAGAUGUCGCAUGACAUUUGCUUAAAAGGUGCAACUGCACCACUACCAGAUGGACCUGCGUUGUAUUAGCUAGUUGGUGAGGUAACGGCUCACCAAGGCAACGAUACAUAGCCGACCUGAGAGGGUGAUCGGCCACACUGGGACUGAGACACGGCCCAGACUCCUACGGGAGGCAGCAGUAGGGAAUCUUCGGCAAUGGACGGAAGUCUGACCGAGCAACGCCGCGUGAGGGAAGAAGGUUGUCGGAUCGUAAAGCUCUGUUGUAAGAGAAGAACGAGUGUGAGAGUGGAAAGUUCACACUGUGACGGUAUCUUACCAGAAAGGGACGGCUAACUACGUG
rnacentral:rRNA from 1 species